CAAAAGAUGGUGAAGUAUACCUGCGAAGCUUGCAGACAGAGGAAACUUUAGUAGAGGACUAUAGCGAUUCCGACGCAUAAAAUGAGUAUGAGGGUGAAAGGCUAAUCGAACCAUCUAGUAGCU
rnacentral:ncRNA from 1 species